GACGAGGUGCACAAACGUUAUUCGGAAUUACUGGGCGUAAAGAGCGCGCAGGCGGUCGAUCAAGUCGCGUGUGAAAGCCCCCGGCUCAACUGGGGAGGGUCACGCGAUACUGAUCGACUCGAAGGCAGGAGAGGGUAGUGGAAUUCCCGGUGUAGUGGUGAAAUGCGUAGAUAUCGGGAGGAACACCAGUGGCGAAGGCGACUACCUGGCCUGUUCUUGACGCUGAGGCGCGAAAGCCAGGGGAGCAAACGGG
rnacentral:rRNA from 1 species